rnacentral:rRNA from 1 species
UAUGGCUCAGGACGAACGCUGGCGGCGUGCCUAAUACAUGCAAGUCGAGCGGACAGAAGGGAGCUUGCUCCCGGAUGUUAGCGGCGGACGGGUGAGUAACACGUGGGUAACCUGCCUGUAAGACUGGGAUAACUCCGGGAAACCGGAGCUAAUACCGGAUAGUUCCUUGAACCGCAUGGUUCAAGGAUGAAAGACGGUUUCGGCUGUCACUUACAGAUGGACCCGCGGCGCAUUAGCUAGUUGGUGGGGUAAUGGCUCACCAAGGCGACGAUGCGUAGCCGACCUGAGAGGGUGAUCGGCCACACUGGGACUGAGACACGGCCCAGACUCCUACGGGAGGCAGCAGUAGGGAAUCUUCCGCAAUGGACGAAAGUCUGACGGAGCAACGCCGCGUGAGUGAUGAAGGUUUUCGGAUCGUAAAGCUCUGUUGUUAGGGAAGAACAAGUGCGAGAGUAACUGCUCGCACCUUGACGGUACCUAACCAGAAAGCCACGGCUAACUACGUGCCAGCAGCCGCGGUAAUACGUAGGUGGCAAGCGUUGUCCGGAAUUAUUGGGCGUAAAGGGCUCGCAGGCGGUUUCUUAAGUCUGAUGUGAAAGCCCCCGGCUCAACCGGGGAGGGUCAUUGGAAACUGGGAAACUUGAGUGCAGAAGAGGAGAGUGGAAUUCCACGUGUAGCGGUGAAAUGCGUAGAGAUGUGGAGGAACACCAGUGGCGAAGGCGACUCUCUGGUCUGUAACUGACGCUGAGGAGCGAAAGCGUGGGGAGCGAACAGGAUUAGAUACCCUGGUAGUCCACGCCGUAAACGAUGAGUGCUAAGUGUUAGGGGGUUUCCGCCCCUUAGUGCUGCAGCUAACGCAUUAAGCACUCCGCCUGGGGAGUACGGUCGCAAGACUGAAACUCAAAGGAAUUGACGGGGGCCCGCACAAGCGGUGGAGCAUGUGGUUUAAUUCGAAGCAACGCGAAGAACCUUACCAGGUCUUGACAUCCUCUGACAACCCUAGAGAUAGGGCUUUCCCUUCGGGGACAGAGUGACAGGUGGUGCAUGGUUGUCGUCAGCUCGUGUCGUGAGAUGUUGGGUUAAGUCCCGCA